rnacentral:rRNA from 1 species
GACAGAGGGUGCAACCGUUGUUCGGAAUUACUGGGCGUAAAGCGUGUGUAGGCGGCUACGUAAGUCGGAUGUGAAAGCCCCAGGCUCAACCUGGGAAGUGCACUCGAUACUGCGUAGCUUGAGUAUCGGAGAGGUUGGUGGAAUUCUCGGUGUAGAGGUGAAAUUCGUAGAUAUCGAGAGGAACACCGGUGGCGAAGGCGGCCAACUGGACGAAUACUGACGCUGAGACACGAAAGCGUGGGGAGCAAACAGG